rnacentral:lncRNA from 1 species
UCAUGCACCAAAUGAUCCAAUUAGCACAACAUCCGAUGCUCUAAAUAUGAUACGUAUUGUGCCAGAUGAUUCAAAUCUAGACUCAGUAUUUGAUGGCUUCACUCUAGAGAUGCUGUUUGCGGAUCCAUUGGAUGAUGAGAACUUCAUUGUGGACAAUCUAAAUGAGGCGGUUAACGGUGAUAAUCCGAAAACAAUGCCGCCUCCUCUUGCAGGGAAUGUUCUAGGAAGCGGCCAAGGAUUUUAAUGACUAAGUUUGUUGAUUAUCUUGAAAUGAAUCAAGGGCUAGUUUGAAGAGUUUCAGUAUCGUGUCUUUUGUUUUUGUUUGUCUUGUCUUUCAAAUAAUGAUUUGGGAAUUUGGGAUUUUAAUUGGCUUGAGUUUUGUAUUUGCUUACUUUCAGGUGGUGUUCUUGUGUGUGCGUGUGUGUGUGUUUUUUUUUCUUUAUAAAUGUUGUCAUUGUUAGUCUUGGAUCGAGUUAAUAAGUAUAUGUGUGUUUCAUGAGUGUUGUUUAUUUUACAUUCUUGUUAAGUACAAUUCCGCAAAUCUUUAAAAAUAUUUAAU